CCUUGGUUUGGAAUUUGGAUGUCAUUUGCACGGUGUGCUCACCUGUGUGAGGCUUCAGACAGGUAUAAUCAGGGUUGGCCACUGAACACACUGACAUAACAAUAUUCAACUGUAACCAUAGCGCCCCCUACUGCAAGGAAGAGAGGAGGAGCCUGAUCCAAUCAAAACCAGAGUCCAACUCAGCAUCCAACUGUGAGAGGAAACUUCAGGAACAUGGAGCCAACAGCAGGAAUGAGACGGACACGGAGUAUAGCUCUUCCUCCUUCUCUGUCUGACUUCAUUGAUACACUCACUGCUCAUGCAACAUCGUACAUUAAAGCGUUUAACAACAAAGAAAACAGGAUGAGACAGAUUGUAGAAGAGUUAAAUGUAAUCAUUGCUGAAGUUAAAAGGAUGCAGAAAGUCACAAAUACAGCUAGAAUGACAGGAGUUGUUUUUACAGGAGCCAUGUUGCUUGCAGUUCCAUUCACCGGGGGGACGAGCUUAUUAGCAGCAGGAGCAGUAGCAGCAGGAGGUGCUGUUGUUGCUACAAAUGUGUCAAAAAUCAGGAAAGAGAAUGGAAGUGCAGAAAAAGCUGAAACGUUGGGAAAAGAAUUCAUGGACAUUGUUGAGCCACUGAAGGAACAACUGCAGAAAAUGCAAACUUUGUUCCAAGAGUUGGAGGAAAGAUCAGCCGCAGUUCAGACUGAGACAAGCAAGUUUAAGAGGAUUCUUGAAGAAAUGUCUGAACUGAGAAAACUGAAUGCAACCACUUUGUCUGUAGUUGCAGUUCUGGGCGAGGUGAUUGGUAAUCUGCUGAAGCUCAUUGUGAUGAUCUUCAGAGUUACUGCGACACCUAAAGAAGAUAAAAAACUGACAGACUCCAUCAUCCAAUCAGCUGAACAGAGUCAGAGGGUCACUGAUGCUUUUCAAAGGAUGAGUCAGGAACUGGAAAAACAGAUCAAUAAAGAGAAGAUGAAGCAAGAUGAGAAGAGUUCAAAUUCAGAUUAAAAGUUAAAUCAAACAAAUGAUGUCACAGCGUCUCCGUUGUGUAAACUGACAAUAAGCAGCUCCUCUGAAAACAAACUUUUCGCACAUGCUCAGUACGCCUACAGACAAGAGCCAUGAGCAGGUGGACUACAACAACAAUGGCCGACUCCUGAUUUCUGUUGGUGGAAACGUUGACUGUCAUGACUGCCAGUCGGUGUUUCCUCUAAACGUUCUCUGUAGUUCAGGGUCACUCAGAGUAACGACCCCACGUCAUCGUCAGUCCACACAAACCUUUGUGUGUUAGUCGUGUUUUUUUACACCUCAGCGCUCUGCGUCUGAUGAAUGAACUCUAACUUUCUCUUCAUGUUUGUUCUCUUCGCCUGGUUCUUUGUCCGAUAAACACCGCUCACAGUGACUGUGAUGUCAUACAGCGGUCAGCAUCACAUCUCUGACUGUUAACACGUCACUGUAGGGCGAUAUGUAUAUAUGUAUAGAUACAGUAAAUGAUCAAAGACAGAAACAGGGUAAGAAGAAGCUCGGUGGAUGGAAACUCUUAACACACAACACCGUAGAUCUACAUUUGGACCGUCAGCGUUCUCCAUCAGAGGGCGUAAACACCUGGACCCACUUUAAGAUCUGUAAUCUGUCAUUUAAGCUGGUUUAUAGCGUUUAUAUUGUCUUAUUGUUGAACAUGUAUUUUAAAGUGUGAUGGGCUUCUAUGUGACUCUGAUUGUUUCCCUAAAGACUCAACGAGGACACGAGGCGGAGAUUAGCUCCAGACUCUUUAUGCAUCAGUGUCAUGCUCUGGAUUGAAAAUAUGUUAAACUGUAAUGUUAAAUUCAAAUGUAACAAUUCAAAUUUAUAACCUGAAAAUAAAACCUUGGAUUUUUACACAUCAAACUGAA